rnacentral:rRNA from 1 species
AACGAACGCUGGCGGCAGGCUUAACACAUGCAAGUCGAGCGCCCCGCAAGGGGAGUGGCAGACGGGUGAGUAACGCGUGGGAAUCUACCUAGUUCUACGGAACAACAGUUGGAAACGCUGCUAAUACCGUAUACGCCCUACGGGGGAAAGAUUUAUCGGAAUUAGAUGAGCCCGCGUAAGAUUAGCUAGUUGGUGAGGUA